UGUGCAUAUGAAAAAAACUCCUCUGCUCUUAGUAAAAUCCCCCAUUCACUCUCCUGGUUCCCAAAGGUCUUGCUGUUCGUAAGUCCUGCUUCUCUCACCAAAGGUCUUGCGUAAGGCCCAGUCCAGCGUUAAACAAACGUUCCCUGCUCUCCCUCAAAACCAGCUUUCGUGCUCCCGUAAGUCCCUCAUGAGAAGCGUCUAUCACUUCUACAAACUCACUUCCGUCAAAGCUCCAACGUGAUCCUUCAAAAGCAAGCCAAGGAAAGCUCCGUUCUCUCCACCAGCGUUCUCAGAACCAGGAGGAAAAAAAAAAACAAAAAAAAAAAAGGAAAAAAAACACCUCGCCUUGUAAUCUACUUCCCUCAAGCCCAAAAAAAUCAAAUGCCCCGAACCCCCCUCUCUCCUUAAGCUCCCAGAGUUUUUUUUUUUUUUUUCCCUCUCCUAGAAGCUUUCUCAUAGGAACCAGUCCGUCCAUUUCUCUCCCAUCGUUGAGGUAACAAAAUAGUUGCCUUUCAAAGCACACAAGCACACAGGCCAAGAGCACCAAAAAUGGAGCAAGCGUGGCUUUUCUACUGUGUAACUGAGUUUCACUUCCCUCUAGCAGUAGAUGUGUUGAGGCUUUUCUACCUUCAACAAUUGUAUGUCCAAAAGGGGCAACAACGUGCUCUGCUGCAGCUUGGGGUGAAUCAAGUGCCCGCAUGAAGUCGGAUUGACUUCGUGGAGUGAAAUGCAUGGCUGUAGAGUGAGUGCUUUCUGUAAACUUGAUAGUGCAAAGGCCUGCGUGAAGUUGGCAUCUGUGAUAUGUGUUGGUGCAGGGGCGUGAAUGAAAUGAUUCCGUAAUGUGCAAUUGAAAAUGCAGGCGUCCACAUUUGACUUUGA